rnacentral:rRNA from 1 species
CCUACGGGGCGCAGCAGUGGGGGAUAUUGCACAAUGGGGGGAACCCUGAUGCAGCGACGCCGCGUGGGUGAAGGAGUGCUUCGGCAUGUAAAGCCCUAUCGGCAGGGAAGAAGCAAGACGGUACCUGACUAAGAAGCCCCGGCUAACUACGUGCCAGCAGCCGCGGUAAUACGUAGGGGGCGAGCGUUAUCCGGAUUUACUGGGUGUAAAGGGAGCGUAGGCGGUGAUGCAAGUCAGAAGUGAAAGCCCGCAGCUCAACUGCGGGACUGCUUUUGAAACUGUAUGACUAGAUU